rnacentral:rRNA from 1 species
AUUGAACGCUGGCGGCAGGCCUAACACAUGCAAGUCGAACGGCAGCACAGAAGAGCUUGCUCUCUGGGUGGCGAGUGGCGGACGGGUGAGUAAUGUCUGGGAAACUGCCCGAUGGAGGGGGAUAACUACUGGAAACGGUAGCUAAUACCGCAUAACGUCGCAAGACCAAAGUGGGGGACCUUCGGGCCUCACACCAUCGGAUGUGCCCAGAUGGGAUUAGCUAGUAGGUGGGGUAAUGGCUCACCUAGGCGACGAUCCCUAGCUGGUCUGAGAGGAUGACCAGCCACACUGGAACUGAGACACGGUCCAGACUCCUACGGGAGGCAACAGUGGGGAAUAUUGCACAAUGGGCGCAAGCCUGAUGCAGCCAUGCCGCGUGUAUGAAGAAGGCCUUCGGGUUGUAAAGUACUUUCAGCGGGGAGGAAGGCGGUGAGGUUAAUAACCUUGCCGAUUGACGUUACCCGCAGAAGAAGCACCGGCUAACUCCGUGCCAGCAGCCGCGGUAA